rnacentral:misc_RNA from 1 species
UAACUGCGAUACUUAGUGUGAAUUGCAGAAUUCAGCGAAUCAUCGAAACCUUGAACGCACCUUGCGCCCGGGGGAACUCCCCCGGGCACGCCCGCCCGAGCGUCGUCCACCCAUCGCCAAACCCCCCCUCGGAAGGGGGGCGGCGCGGCGGAAUCUCGACCCCGGCCGGCCCGCCCGGCCGCGGUCGGAAACCCAGAACCGGUCCGGAGGCCCUCCGACGAGGAGCGCGCCCGGUCUCGGGGCGAGGCAGGUCCUAGCGGCCCUCGCGCCCCGUACCCCGCGCGCCCCCCCGGCGGCGCGGUCCCCGGGUUCAACCGGCAGAAGGAGAGGGCGCGCACGGCGCGCCCUCGCACCCAUCUACUCAAAACAGCGACCUCGGAUCGGGCGAGAACACCCGCCG